CGCUUGCCCUACUGGAUUGUUUCUUCAUUCUUUUGUUUUUUUUUGGAAUUAAAACCAAACUUAAAAAUACCUACUGUAACGUAUUUUGAAAUGCCACCUGGAUAUGAAGUUGUUAUAAGGCAACACUUUAUCCAUAAGCGCAUUCGUUUCUCGCUACUAUUUGUGUGCUACAUUUUUACUCAAAUACUGGAAUUAACUCGCUAGCAUUUGUAAUUGCCGAGGGUUCAAGCUGAUAAAGAUUAGAUAGAAUCGUCCAUUUUGUCAUCUAACCCUUAAGAGGAAGAAUAUAGUUCAUCCAAAAAUUUCUAAAAAUAACCUUGUUCACCUUCAGAAAGUCAUUAAAUCAGUUCAAGUUGCGGUUAUAAUUUUGGUUGUGUGACUUGGCCACAUAAUUUUAUGCAUUUGGAUGAUAGCCUUUGAAUCUCUUUAACAAUUACCCUAUGGAAUAAAAUCCAUAGUCAAAGAGGAAGACUCGCAUUUGAUUACAACAAUUGUUUUGUGAAGGAAGAGAUCUUAUUGAACAAAAGCUUUUGUUCUCACAAAACACAUUUUUCGGCCUCACAUAUUCCCAAACCGCAACGCAGCGUCAGUGUGAUUUUUAACUUUUACUCCAACAGCGUCGAUUACAUCAAGACGGGCAAAUGCCCUGUGUCAAUCAAUAACCAGAAAUAUGGGAGAAAUGUGAAAUUUGAUGUAUUAUUACAAACUGCUUUGUUUUCAAGAUAUGAAGAAAAAACCAAUUUCGGCACGAAUCGGGAUAUAUUCAACCAGAUCAGCUAGA